rnacentral:rRNA from 1 species
AGCAGCCGCGGUAAUUCCAGCUCCAAUAGCGUAUAUUAAAGUUGUUGCAGUUAAAAAGCUCGUAGUUGAAUUUCGGAAUCGACGGAUUGGUCGCGCCUUCGGUGUGUACUGGUCUUGCCGGUUUCUCCCUUCUGACGAACCACGAUGUCAUUAAUUUGGUGUCGUGGGAAAUCAGGACUGUUACUUUGAAAAAAUUAGAGUGUUUAAAGCAGGCAUUAGCUUGAAUACAUUAGCAUGGAAUAAUGAAAUAGGACGUUUGAUCUUAUUUUGUUGGUUUCUAGGAUCGACGUAAUGAUUAAUAGGGAUAGUUGGGGGCAUUAGUAUUCAAUUGUCAGAGGUGAAAUUCUUGGAUUUAUUGAAGACUAACUACUGCGAAAGCAUUUGCCAAGGAUGUUUUCAUUAAUCAAGAACGAAAGUUAGGGGAUCGAAGACGAUCAGAUACCGUCGUAGUCUUAACCAUAAACUAUGCCGACUAGGGAUCGGAUGAUGUUAAUUUUUUAAUGACUCAUUCGGCGCCUUACG